CUUAGGGGUGCCGUUUGGCUGAGAUCAUACCCUUGAACCUGAUGCGGGCAAUGCCGCCGUAGGGAAAGUGA
rnacentral:ncRNA from 1 species